CUACGGGUCGCUGCAGUGAGGAAUAUUGCACAAUGGGGGGAACCCUGAUGCAGCAACGCCGCGUGGAGGAUGACGCAUUUCGGUGUGUAAACUCCUUUUAUAUGUCAAGAAAAUGACGGUAGCAUAUGAAUAAGCACCGGCUAACUCCGUGCCAGCAGCCGCGGUAAUACGGAGGGUGCAAGCGUUACUCGGAAUCACUGGGCGUAAAGGACGCGUAGGCGGGUUGGAAAGUCAGGUGUGAAAUCCUACAGCUUAACUGUAGAACUGCACUUGAAACUUCUAAUCUAGAGUAUGGGAGGGGAGAUGGAAUUAGUGGUGUAGGGGUAAAAUUCGUAGAUAUCACUAGGAAUACCUAAAGCGAAGGCGAUCUCCUGGAACAUUACUGACGCUAAGGCGUGAAAGCGUGGGGAGCAAACAGGAUUAGAUACCCUAGUAGUC
rnacentral:rRNA from 1 species